AAGCACCGGCUAACUCCGUGCCAGCAGCCGCGGUAAUACGGAGGGUGCAAGCGUUAUCCGGAAUCACUGGGUUUAAAGGGUGCGUAGGCGGCGUUGUGAGUCAGAGGUGAAAGCCCAUCGCUUAACGAUGGAAUUGCCUUUGAUACUGUAGUGCUUGAAUCAAGUUGAGGCUGGCGGAAUGUGGCAUGUAGCGGUGAAAUGCAUAGAUUUGCCAUAGAACACCAAUUGCCAAGGCCGCUGGCUGGGCUUGAAUUGACGCUUAGGCCCGAAAGCGUGUGGAGCGAACAGGAUUAGAUACCCUGGUAGUCCACGCCCUAAACCAUGUUUACUCGUUUUAUGCACUUGUUGUCU
rnacentral:rRNA from 1 species